UUGCACGCUGGCGGCAUGCCUUACACAUGCAAGUCGAACGGUAACAGGUUAAGCUGACGAGUGGCGAACGGGUGAGUAAUACAUCGGAACGUGCCCAGUAGUGGGGGAUAGCCCGGCGAAAGCCGGAUUAAUACCGCAUACGACCUAAGGGUGAAAGGGGGGGAUCGCAAGACCUCUCGCUAUUGGAGCGGCCGAUGUCAGAUUAGCUAGUUGGUGGGGUAAAAGCUCACCAAGGCGACGAUCUGUAGCUGGUCUGAGAGGACGACCAGCCACACUGGGACUGAGACACGGCCCAGACUCCUACGGGAGGCAGCAGUGGGGAAUUUUGGACAAUGGGCGCAAGCCUGAUCCAGCCAUGCCGCGUGCGGGAAGAAGGCCUUCGGGUUGUAAACCGCUUUUGUCAGGGAAGAAAUCCUUUGGGUUAAUACCUCGGGGGGAUGACGGUACCUGAAGAAUAAGCACCGGCUAACUACGUG
rnacentral:rRNA from 1 species